CGGGUGAGUAAUGUAUGGGAUCUGCCUGAUGGCGGGGAUAACUACUGGAAACGGUAGCUAAUACCGCAUAAUGUCUGCGGACCAAAGCGGGGGACCUCCGGGCCUCGCGCCAUCAGAUGAACCCAUAUGGGAUUAGCUAGUAGGUAAGGUAACGGCUUACCUAGGCGACGAUCCCUAGCUGGUCUGAGAGGAUGAUCAGCCACACUGGGACUGAGACACGGCCCAG
rnacentral:rRNA from 1 species